rnacentral:lncRNA from 1 species
GUUUGCCUCCAAACCUUGAAGGGCAGUCAACACUUUCUCCUCAAAGGCUGUAUUUCUUUGGGUUGGAGGAGGAGGGUGUUGAAAUUGAGUUGAGGGACGGUAGAGAUGAAAAUUCUGAGGGUUUUGAAAAUUUUGGGAGUAGGGUUGGGCAGUAUUUGAAGCUUGCUGCCUCCAAGAAAAAUUUGGAUGAUUCCGCCAUCCCGGAUUAUAUGUAUUGGAAAAUGGGUCAUUAUCCGGUCUGGGCUGUGUUUGGGCAGCAUUGAUGUGUUCUUGCAUGAGUUCGGAGAAUUGGGGUGCUGAGGGGCACUC